ensembl:lncRNA
CUUUGCUUAAUGGAGGCUGCUCCACGAGGGACCAAUCGGUAUGUGAGCGCCGUAGCUGUGGAAACAGACAGCGAGCACAUCCACACUGCAUUUGACAGCGGAUCAUGAUAAACGCUUUUCUGGAGAUGGAUUUCGUGGGAAACUGAAUUCCGCUGGGAAGGCAGAGGAAGGCAAAAUCAUGUGAAACACUCGAAACGAUGCUGGAUAGUCCUGACUUUUGUCACAGAAUGGAAUUACGUUGGACUUUUGAGUUGAUCACCCGCUUAAUCUUCAGUCAAAGGGACUGAAACAGUGUCUUCUGCUCGUCCUGCUGUCACAAACAUCUCCUGUGCAGUUGGUAGUACAGCAGGAGAAGGAAUGGCCAAAAUCUGCACAGAGCAAUCAUACUCUACCCGCAAGUCUGCUUUUACUCCAGAGCUGGACCCCCAGUGGGUUGAUAGAGAAGACAGGAUAUCCUUUGUACUCAGACAUGGAGGUUGGUUAUCACAAAGGAAAAAAAAUGCAAAAAGCAGUUCAACUACGGAGGGCUCUGAAAAUGUUCCGGAGCAGGGUGGGGAAAGCUGGGACAACAAGGAAGGUCAAGAUCAACUUCAAAAGAGAAACCACAACAGGAAUAGUGGACACUGGCCUCUUGCUACACUAAAUAUGAAUAACUGCAACAACACAGAUGAGUAAGUGAGUUAAAGGGGAAAUCCACUGAAUUUUUUUAAAUAUGAGAAGAACUUAAGUUUUUUGUCUGCAUGUACCUCUCUACCCUGAACAUAUUUUUAAAAAAUGUUUUAGGCCAAUACCAUAUUGUGGCCAAUUUUUAAUUAUUAUUUGAAAAAAAAACUUUAGAGAAAUCUGGUUCCUGUCACCAUCACUGUGAAUUCUAACUCGGUAGGUUUCUGUAGAACUGAGUAUUUUACAUCAAACCAGUCUGAAUUCUUUCUAUAGUGCUCCCCAGUGGCACAGUGGUAGGGUGCAGGGCUUGCAAGGCAAGGGUUGCUGGUUUCAAUCCAGCUGGGAGUUACCCCCUUCAAAAUUACACAACAUAGUCCCUGUCUCCCAUCAUUAUUUGGGGGCAGUCAUGGGCUGGAGGUUAGACAAAGAAAAGAUCUCCUGAGCCUAUGGUACGUGACUGAAGUGCCCUUGAGCAAGGUGCCUAACCCCUAACUGCUCCCCGGGCGCUGUGGAUAGGGCUGCCCAUUGCUCCAGGCAAGUGUGCUCACUGCCCCCUAGUGUGUGUGUGGUGUUUCACUGGAUGGGUUAAAUGUGGAGGUGAAAUUUUCCUGUUGUGGGACUAAUAAGGGUCACUUAAGGAUAAUGGUUUAAUAAUUCAGAAAUUUUGAAAAAUCUGUGGAAUUCCCCUUUAUAUAUUAUUGUAAUGUUUUGUACUGUACCACAUAAUACUAAACUCAUUAUCGUAUGAUAUUAACCACACAAACUAAUUUAUUAAAGCAAAAAGGAUAACAAGGAGAUAAAGAAAGACGACAAGAAAGAGGACGGAAAAAAGGAUGAAAAGAAAGAUGAGAAGAAGGAGGAGAAAAAAGAUGACAAAAAGGAUGACAAAAAGGAUGAUAAAAAAGACGACAAAAAGGAUGACAAAAAGAAAGAAGACCCACCGUAAGUAGUUGAUGUUUUUAGCAGCUAUUUUAGCAUGUUAUUGCUAAAAUAGCUGAACAAUUAAUUAAAUAUGUACUUUUU